rnacentral:rRNA from 1 species
GACGAACGCUGGCGGCGUGCUUAACACAUGCAAGCCGAACGGCAAGGCCCUGCUUUUGUGGGGUGCUCGAGUCGCGAAUGGGUGAGUAACACGUGAGUAACCUGCCCUUGACUUUGGGAUAACUUCAGGAACCUGGGGCUAAUACCGGAUAGGAGCUCCUGCUGCAUGGUGGGGGUUGGCACGUUUCGGCGGUUGGGGAUGGACUCGCGGCUUAUCAGCUUGUUGGUGGGGUAGUGGCUUACCAAGGCUUUGACGGAUAGCCGGCCUCAGAGGGUGACCGGCCACAUUGGGACUGAGAUACGGCCCAGACUCCUACGGGAGGCAACAGGGCGGGAUAUUGCACAAUGGGCCGAAGCCUGAUGCAGCAACGCCGCGUGCGGGAUGACGGCCUUCGGGUUGUAAACCGCUUUCGCCUGUGACGAAGCGUGGGUGACGGUAAUGGGUAAAGAAGCACCGGCUAACUACGUG